GAUAGCGGCGUCGAGCGGCGGACGGGUGAGUAAUGCCUAGGAAAUUGCCCUGAUGUGGGGGAUAACCAUUGGAAACGAUGGCUAAUACCGCAUGAUGCCUACGGGCCAAAGAGGGGGACCUUCGGGCCUCUCGCGUCAGGAUAUGCCUAGGUGGGAUUAGCUAGUUGGUGAGGUAAGGGCUCACCAAGGCGACGAUCCCUAGCUGGUCUGAGAGGAUGAUCAGCCACACUGGAACUGAGACACGGUCCAGACUCCUACGGGAGGCAGCAGUGGGGAAUAUUGCACAAUGGGCGCAAGCCUGAUGCAGCCAUGCCGCGUGUGUGAAGAAGGCCUUCGGGUUGUAAAGCACUUUCAGUCGUGAGG
rnacentral:rRNA from 1 species